GGCGGCGUGCCUAAUACAUGCAAGUCGAGCGGACAGAUGGGAGCUUGCUCCCUGAUGUUAGCGGCGGACGGGUGAGUAACACGUGGGUAACCUGCCUGUAAGACUGGGAUAACUCCGGGAAACCGGGGCUAAUACCGGAUGGUUGUCUGAACCGCAUGGUUCAGACAUAAAAGGUGGCUUCGGCUACCACUUACAGAUGGACCCGCGGCGCAUUAGCUAGUUGGUGAGGUAACGGCUCACCAAGGCGACGAUGCGUAGCCGACCUGAGAGGGUGAUCGGCCACACUGGGACUGAGACACGGCCCAGACUCCUACGGGAGGCAGCAGUAGGGAAUCUUCCGCAAUGGACGAAAGUCUGACGGAGCAACGCCGCGUGAGUGAUGAAGGUUUUCGGAUCGUAAAGCUCUGUUGUUAGGGAAGAACAAGUGCCGUUCAAAUAGGGCGGCACCUUGACGGUACCUAACCAGAAAGCCACGGCUAACUACGUGCCAGCAGCCGCGGUAAUACGUAGGUGGCAAGCGUUGUCCGGAAUUAUUGGGCGUAAAGGGCUCGCAGGCGGUUUCUUAAGUCUGAUGUGAAAGCCCCCGGCUCAACCGGGGAGGGUCAUUGGAAACUGGGGAACUUGAGUGCAGAAGAGGAGAGUGGAAUUCCACGUGUAGCGGUGAAAUGCGUAGAGAUGUGGAGGAACACCAGUGGCGAAGGCGACUCUCUGGUCUGUAACUGACGCUGAGGAGCGAAAGCGUGGGGAGCGAACAGGAUUAGAUACCCUGGUAGUCCACGCCGUAAACGAUGAGUGCUAAGUGUUAGGGGGUUUCCGCCCCUUAGUGCUGCAGCUAACGCAUUAAGCACUCCGCCUGGGGAGUACGGUCGCAAGACUGAAACUCAAAGGAAUUGACGGGGGCCCGCACAAGCGGUGGAYCCAUGUGGUUUAAUUCGAAGCAACGCGAAGAACCUUACCAGGUCUUGACAUCCUCUGACAAUCCUAGAGAUAGGACGUCCCCUUCGGGGGCAGAGUGACAGGUGGUGCAUGGUUGUCCUCAGCUCCUGUCCUGAGAUUUUGGGUUAAUUCCCGCAACSAYCGCAACCCUUGAUCUUAGUUGCCAGCAUUCAUUUGGGCACUCUAAGGUGACUGCCGGUGACAAACC
rnacentral:rRNA from 1 species